GACAGAGGUGCCGAGCGUUAGGCGGAAUCACUGGGCUUAAAGCGUGUGUAGGCGGACUUCUAAGUACCUUGUGAAAUCCCACGGCUUAACCUGGAACUGCUUGGUCAUACUGGUUGUCUUGGGGCCACUUAGGGGCUACCGGAACAAACGGUGGAGCGGUAAAAUGCGUAGAUAUCGUUUGGAACGCCAAUGGUCGAAAACAGGUAGCUGGGACGUGUG
rnacentral:rRNA from 1 species